UACGGAGGGUGCAAGCGUUAUCCGGAUUUACUGGGUUUAAAGGGUGCGUAGGUGGGUCUGUAAGUCAGUGGUGAAAUCUCCGAGCUUAACUCGGAAACUGCCAUUGAUACUAUAGAUCUUGAAUUAUCUGGAGGUAAGCGGAAUAUGUCAUGUAGCGGUGAAAUGCUUAGAUAUGACAUAGAACACCAAUUGCGAAGGCAGCUUACUACGGAUCGAUUGACACUGAGGCACGAAAGCGUGGGGAUCAAACAGG
rnacentral:rRNA from 2 species